UACGAAGGGGGCUAGCGUUGUUCGGAAUUACUGGGCGUAAAGCGCACGUAGGCGGGUUGUUAAGUCAGGGGUGAAAUCCUGGAGCUCAACUCCAGAACUGCCUUUGAUACUGGCAACCUAGAGACUGGAAGAGGUUAGUGGAAUUCCCAGUGUAGAGGUGAAAUUCGUAGAUAUUCGCAAGAACACCGGUGGCGAAGGCGGGUCUCUGGGCCGAUACUGACGCUGAGGAGCGAAAGCGUGGGGAGCGAACAGG
rnacentral:rRNA from 1 species